AGUCCUGUAGCUCCAACAGUAAAGUAUUUGCAUACUGAAGAGCAAGUGGUUGCAAGUUCGAUUCUUGUCAGGACUA
rnacentral:tRNA from 2 species